rnacentral:rRNA from 1 species
GACGAACGCUGGCGGCGUGCUUAACACAUGCAAGUCGAGCGGUAAGGCCCUUUCGGGGGUACACGAGCGGCGAACGGGUGAGUAACACGUGGGUGACCUGCCCUCAGCUCUGGGAUAAGCCUGGGAAACCGGGUCUAAUACUGGAUAUGACUCCAUGACGCAUGUUGUGGGGUGGAAAGCCUUGUGCGGCUGAGGAUGGGCCCGCGGCCUAUCAGCUUGUUGGUGGGGUGANGGCCUACCAAGGCGACGACGGGUAGCCGGCCUGAGAGGGCGACCGGCCACACUGGGACUGAGACACGGCCCAGACUCCUACGGGGGCAGCAGUGGGGAAUCUUGCGCAAUGGGCGAAAGCCUGACGCAGCGACGCCGCGUGGAGGACGAAGGUCUUCGGAUUGUAAACUCCUGUCGAGAGGGACGAAUGCCGCGAGGG